CAAGAAUCACAAACAACACACCUUCCACGUUCUGUGUGUGUGUGUCGCGUUAGGUCACGGCAGUUUCCUGCGGCGUCGCUAUGACGACCAGCCACGCUCGCCUCACGCAUGAGGCGGUACUCAAUCUGCAACGGAAAAUGGAGGACGGGGACGGGAGCCGAGCCGAGCUGAUACUAGCAGUGGCUGAAGAUUUCCAUUGUGAGGGAAAACCCGCAGCCUGGUUUCAAGCACAUUUUUUGAGUAACAGUACAUUGCCAACGUCCUCUCUGGAAAAUCAGACAAGAAACACACGGCGUUGUGGUGCCUUCUCCUGCAGAUGAUGAAUCCUGCUGUGCUCGUGCUAUAGCUUGCUAUAGCAAGAAGCCAUAAGCCAAGCAAUGUUCACUGCUCUGCAUGACUUUAGGUUAUUUGGUGACUCAGGUUUGAUCUCAGACUGUGGUGAGGACUUUGAUG
rnacentral:lncRNA from 1 species